ensembl:processed_transcript
CGUUAGCGGUAGCUCAGACGUCUACCUCACUUCUGUGGUGUUGUAGUUGUGUUUGUUGUCUGGAAAAAGUCGACCACAGCUCUUUCAAAACAGCAACACGACAGCGAAUUAUCGUAUUUAACUGAAUGUAAAUGGGAAGAUUUAGAGGGCUGUGACACUUUCUGUAAGCAAGUGAGAGAGGUGAAAGCGGAUUUCAGCACCUUCUGCAAUUACCACCUUUUCCUGGAAGUGCUUAUAGCUCUAAAGGUUGGAGAGCUCUCAGAGAUGCAUUAAUUCUGGAGGGCUCUAAUGCAAACAUUUCCCUGUAACGGUAUCCAGCAUAUCUACAUGAAAGGUGUGGUGAAGAAAAAGAAGGAGGUUCAAUUACCUAAGUUGCAGUAAACUAUUGAUAUCCCAAUGCCACUCACAAUGCUGAAGGAGAGCUGUUUUGCACAACUUUGAUGAACCUUUUUAAUUCACUUCAAAUGUUGAAGACUGUUGACCCUGUGAAGCUCCUGACAAACAGUUUUGGUGGAAACAGAUGUGCCAGCAAGACGUGCACCAACAGUUUGUCUUCUUUUAAACUCUGAUAUGUCACCUAUAAUCUUGUGGGGAUGGCAAAAUUUAAAGCAA